UCUUUGCUAGUAUAUCGGUUAGUACACGCGCCUGUCAUCAUAGAUGAGCGCGCGAAAGCUGGGUUCGACUCCCAGGCAGAGAG